AUCAGAGCAAGGAUGGCAACUGGCGGUGAUGAUGACAAUGGCUCUCGUGAUGGUGAACGGAGAGCUAGAGCCUUUGAAACAAGGGAUGAUGCAUUGCAAUGUUUGGAGCAACUAUUAGAGCAAUGAGUGGACCACAGAUUCGGGCAUAUAAAAAGACAUUUUGAAGAAAUUGCGGAUCGCUUUGAUGCUUUAGAAAUCAAUCGCAACAAGGAUUGGGUGGACAAUAGAAGGCUGAGGGAUGGUGCAAGCCCCAUGGUGACCCUAUUGAACGGCG
rnacentral:misc_RNA from 1 species